rnacentral:lncRNA from 1 species
UAACCUUGCCACCUUUACCUAUGAAAAAAGUAAUAGUCUCGGUAUUGGCACUAUUCGUUCCAUUCAAUGUCAAGAAAAACAAUUGCAGCAAGGCUCAACCAAUAUAUUUGAAGUAUUCCAUAGGACAUAGAUCACAAAAACAGCAUGGCAAAUGCAUUUAAAAAAAAACAAAACCCUUAGGUGAGUCAGUCAAGCAAACAGCAUAAUAGAGUAGUCAUAUCAAGACAUGAAACUUGCAGCUAUUAUGAAGGAAUCUACUCUUGAACCCAAAUUGCAUGAUUUGAUUAAUACCAAAAAAUCGAGACACUAAAAUCAAUAAUAUGAACUCUUUAGAGUAAAGCACGAACGGUCAAGAAUCUAAGCAACGAGAAUGAUAUUUACAUGAUACGCCUACUACUCUAUAUAGGUAGAGAGGAAAGUAAUGCAGUACAUGCGCAAUUGAACUAUAUAUAAUAUUCACAGACUUUAUAUGUGACCAGGAAGUAUUGCCAAGAUGAACAACGAUGACAAUUUUAAAUCUAUACACAGGUUCCAUGAUCUAAACGAGACACUCAGAAAAAUUUGAGC